GCGGAUGUGGCGAAAUUGGCACACGCGCCAGGUUUAGGUCCUGGUGGGAAACCAUGCAGGUUCGAAUCCUGUCAUCCGCACCA
rnacentral:tRNA from 1 species